AGUGUAUUAGCUCAGUGGUUAAAGCUAAGGGCUUGUGACUAUGAGGUCCCAAGUUCAAAUUUCGCCAAAGACUG
rnacentral:tRNA from 1 species